GUAGUGCAAUGGAUAGCGUUUUGGACUUUUAGUACAAAGGUUGUGGGUUCAAAUCCCACAUGGCU